GGCUAGAUGGGUGUAUUAAUAAGGGGUUUUAGUAGUAGCGUUUAAUUCAAAAUCCCGCGCUGGCAACAGCGUGAGAGUUCGAUUCUCUCUCUCGGCACCA
rnacentral:tRNA from 1 species